CUUUACUGUAGCCUGGUAUUGGGUUCGGGCUUUGACUGCGCAGGAUAGGUGGGAGACUAUGAAGCUGCCCUUGUGGGGGCAGUGGAGUCAUCAGUGAGAUACCACUCUGUCAAGGCUAGAAUUCUAACCGUCUGCCGUUAUCCGGCGACGGAACAGUAUCAGGUGGGCAGUUUGACUGGGGCGGUCGCCUCCUAAAUGGUAACGGAGGCGCGCAAAGGUUCCCUCAGGCUGUUGGAAAUCAGCCGAAGAGUGUAAAGGCAGAAGGGAGCUUGACUGCAAGAGCAACAACUCAAGCAGGGACGAAAGUCGGCCUUAGUGAUCCGACGGCGCUGAGUGGAAGGGCCGUCGCUCAACGGAUAAAAGUUA
rnacentral:rRNA from 1 species